GUGUGGAUGGUGUCCAGAAUUAGGGACUUAUAUGUUUACCUGUAUGUGGAUAGUGUUCAGUACCAAGGACAGGUGUGUUUGCCU
rnacentral:pre_miRNA from 1 species